rnacentral:rRNA from 1 species
GGUCUCACUGAUUCCUCCUUCCUGAUGAACCGUAAUGCCAUUAAUUUGGUAUUGCGGGGAAUUUGGACUGUUACUUUGAAAAAAUUAGAGUGUUUAAAGCAAGCUAACGCUUGAAUACAUUAGCAUGGAAUAAUAAAAUAGGACGUUUGAUCCUAUUUUGUUGGUUUCUAGGAUUGACGUAAUGAUAAUA